GUGGUCGUCGGUUUCUAUCGCUUCUGUUCUUGAGACAGAAGAGGAAAGUCAGGGCAGCAUAGAGCACCAUACUUCCGAAAGGGAAGGACUCGUAAGGGUACAGAAAGUGCCACAGAAAAUUACCGCCUGUUCUUUGGAACAGGUAAGGGUGAAAACGCGGGGUAAGAGCCCACGACGCUGGCUGGGAACAGUUGGCGGGGGUAAACCUUAUGGGCUGAAAGAUCAUGUACACCGGGGCGUUUAGAGAAAUCUAAAAUAAGGGCUGCUCGUCCAAUCUCGGGGGGUAGGUCGUUUGAACCUGUUGGCAACAGCAGGUCUAGAUAAAUGAUGGAAGUUCCGGCUUGCCGGAAUAACAGGAUCCUGCUUACAAGACGACCAUUUGU
rnacentral:RNase_P_RNA from 1 species